UAACAAUCAUUCUAGUUCUUCAGACAUUUCUGUAUCAAUUCAAUAAAAAUAAUUCAAGUUCUUCAAACGGACAUUUCUGUAUCAAUUUAGAAAACACACUAACUAUAGACAUACAAAGGUUAGACGAAAAUGGCCAGCUUCAGUAAAACGGCAGUUGCAGUUAAAACUUAUCAGAUGCCAGCUUCGUGCAAUCCACUUAUGGAUAUAUAACCAAAGCUUACUAGCAAUCUACGCUAGGCGUCAUUACAAAUGGCGCCUUAGAAACGAAUCAAUACUUCAUAAUUAUCAAAGUUAAAUCCUAGUUUAUUUAAGACCUCAUAAGUCUUCUACUUUUUUUACUUUGUUGAGGGAGAAUGGAAUAGAGAAUAAAAGAACUUAUGGGCAGAUGAGAUCACCAAGUAUCAAAGUGGUUACAGGGUCGCAUAAACAUUACAAUGUGAAUAUUGCCAUCUAAUACAGCUGCACCACAUUUCAAACUAAAAAGAAUGACUGUUUAAUUACAAGUAAAUACAUAUAUACACAAA